AGUGAACGCUGGCAGUAGGCCUAACACAUGCAAGUCGAACGGCAGCACAGUAAGAGCUUGCUCUUACGGGUGGCGAGUGGCGGACGGGCGAGGAAUACAUCGGAAUCUACUUUUUCGUGGGGGAUAACGUAGGGAAACUUACGCUAAUACCGCAUACGACCUACGGGUGAAAGCAGGGGAUCUUCGGACCUUGCGCGAUUGAAUGAGCCGAUGUCGGAUUAGCUAGUUGGCGGGGUAAAGGCCCACCAAGGCGACGAUCCGUAGCUGGUCUGAGAGGAUGAUCAGCCACACUGGAACUGAGACACGGUCCAGACUCCUACGGGAGGCAGCAGUGGGGAAUAUUGGACAAUGGGCGCAAGCCUGAUCCAGCCAUACCGCGUGGGUGAAGAAGGCCUUCGGGUUGUAAAGCCCUUUUGUUGGGAAAGAAAAGCAGCAGGUUAAUACCCCGCUGUUCUGACGGUACCCAAAGAAUAAGCACCGGCUAACUUCGUG
rnacentral:rRNA from 1 species